ACAAGCAAGAAUCGAGGCACUAAACAUUUUUUUUAUAUAUUCAAAUUAAUUCUAUUUAAAUUUUAGUUUUAAUUCUUAUCUGGUAGGAUAAAAGAUGGCAUCUACGAAAGUUGUUGGAGUGGUUCUCCUGUGCCUAAUCAUGAUCUUGCAUUUGCACGUCAACAACGCCCAAGACACCGCCCCAGCCCCUGAGGCCCAAGACGCCCGCCCGGAGGUCCAAGACAGUGAUAAAUGUUAUACUGAUUGUGAGAAAUCUUGCAUAGAUGAAGGAAAUGCUCGUUCUUUUUGCAUGUUGAAGUGCGAGAAAGAAUGUCGCAAAGGACAUAUAGGUAUGUAUUUCAUUUGUUUAUAAUUAUUUUGGUUGAUUUAUAUGUUUCAUUUCAAUUUUUUUUUUUUUUACUGAUUUACUAUUAUAUUCUUUAAUGUUUGCAGCUAGACGUUUUAGCAGAUGAUUCAUUAAAACCUAGACGUGUUCAAGAAUCAAGAACCGUGUAUACUUGUGUAUAUUAUUUGUUAUUUUGGAGGAAGCUUGUAUUAUUGUCUUUUUUCAUUCUUCCAACAG
rnacentral:lncRNA from 1 species